rnacentral:tRNA from 1 species
GCGAAGGUGGCGGAACUGGUAGACGCACUGGAUUUAGGUUCCAGCGCCCUCAGGGCGUGAGGGUUCGAGUCCCUCCUUUCGCACCA